AUACGGAGGAUGCAAGCGUUAUCCGGAUUCAUUGGGUUUAAAGGGUGCGUAGGCGGAUUUUUAAGCGUGAGGUGAAAUGCCCGGGCUCAACCUGGGAACUGCCUCGCGAACUGGAAGUCUGGAAUGUCCGUGCCGUGGGAGGAAUGUGUGGUGUAGCGGUGAAAUGCAUAGAGAUCACACAGAACACCGAUUGCGAAGGCAUCUCACGAACGGAUGAUUGACGCUGAGGCACGAAAGCGUGGGGAUCAAACAGGAUUAGAUACCCUGGUAGUCCACGCAGUAAACGAUGAUAACUAACCGCUGGGCAUUGUUGUUCAGUGGCCAAGCGAAGGCGAUAAGUUAUCCACCUGGGGAGUACGACCGCAAGGUUGAAACUCAAAGGAAUUGACGGGG
rnacentral:rRNA from 1 species